ensembl:lncRNA
UCUCUCUCUCUCUCUGUCUCUCUCACUCUCUGUCUCUCUCUCUCUCUGUCUCUCUCUCUCUCUCUCUCUCUCUCUCUCUCUCUCUCUCUCUCUCUCUCUCUCUCUCUCUCUCUCUCUCUUUCUCCAUCACUGUUUUCUUCAAAAUAUUUUGUCAUCGGAUUUUCUUGUUUCUUCUAUUUGAAAUGACUGAGAUUGUCUGUUUAGCUUAUAUGUCCGCCAGCUGUGUGUGUGUGUCCGCCAGCUGUGUGUGUGUGUCCACCAGCUCUGUGUGUGUGUCCACCAGCUGUGUGUGUGUGUCCACCAGCUGUGUGUGUGUCCGCCAGCUGUGUGUGUGUGUCCGCCAGCUGUGUGUGUGUCCGCCAGCUGUGUGUGUGUCCACCAGCUGUGUGUGUGUGUCCGCCAGCUGUGUGUGUGUGUCCGCCAGCUGUGUGUGUGUGUCCGCCAGCUGUGUGUGUGUCCGCCAGCUGUGUGUGUGUGUCCACCAGCUGUGUGUGUUUGUCAGCCAGCUGUGUGUGUGUGUCAGCCAGCUGUGUGUGUGUCCGCCAGCUCUGUGUGUGUGUCCGCCAGCUGUGUGUGUGUGUCCGCCAGCUGUGUGUGUGUGUCCGCCAGCUGUGUGUGUGUGUCCACCAG